GGGUCACUAGUAUGUGAAAAUAUGAAUGUUCCUGCAGGGUAGGAGGAAACAAAAUGUCAAACUUCGUAACUUUUACGAAGUUUGUUCUCCGUCUUCUCACGUUUUCCGAUAAAUACCCUCAGCCAUCUUUAAGAAGCUCUUUUACUGUGACAACCUGAGAAGAAGUGAAGUGCGCGUCGUGUAAUAAUCAAAAUUAAGAAUCUCAGGGUCGCAAGUUAAAAGUAUUAGACCAGCAAGUAAAGAGUCUAAGAAAUUAAAUCACAGAAAGUGAAAAAAGUAAAAUCUAUAGUACGGCUUUUUAUGAGUCAAUGUAAAAAGUGUUAAAAUAGUGCGCGGAUAAACGAAUAGACAAGAAAAAGGUCCACAAUCAGGGCUUUUUUCUUAUCAUUCGGAACAGGUUCCGACUAUUUCGUUCGACCGUGUAAGGUACAACCAAAGCCAGUGGUUCCACAGCGUCGACGCAAGGACUAUGAUUCCGAUGGAAUAACUCUCGGUCUAGUGGAAGUGUAGUGAUGAUUUCCAUUGUGGUGGUAAACGGCUGGGCGAAACAAAGUGUCCCGAAGAAACGGUCUGAAAACUCGCCGACCUUAAUUUCGUUCUGGCCAUGUUCGAAUUUGGCGAUAAGCAAAGGACCAUCCGAGCAGAGUCACUGUUAGAAGCGUCGUUAGCCGACGCCUGCGGAGGCCAUUUUGUUUCGGCCAUGUUUGAAUUCGACGAUCAUCCAAGUACCAUUCCAGCGGCGUUCUAUUCCGCCGUGAUAGGAGCGUUAACCCACCAUCGGCCGUCGGCCAUGUUCUUGCCCACCCAAAAUAAAACCACCAUCGCUACCACCUCAUCGACAAACACCAUCGCGACCACCUCAUCGACAAGCUCUAUAGCUACCACCUAAUCGACAAGCUCCAUCGCUACCACCUCAUCGACAAACACCAUCGCGACCACCUCAUCGACAAGCUCUAUCGCUACCACCGCAUCGACAAUCUACCAAGCCAUUCCGGAUACAGGGCAUGACGAUGCCCUGCAAGCAAGUACCCUACCAUUUGUGACGUCAGGUCAAGACUAGUCUAAGAGAGAAACCCCCCCCCCCUAUGUGUAAUACAAUUAAGAUAAGAAUAAGUUGAAAUUAU